rnacentral:misc_RNA from 1 species
GAACGCACCUUGCACCCUUUGGCAUUCCGAAGGGUAUGCUCGUUUGAGUGUCAUUGUACUCUCACACUCCCGGUCUUUGGAUUGGGAGCGGUGGACUUGGGUGUUGCUGCUUGACCGUGGCUCACCUCAAAUGGAUUCGUGCACCUCCUGGUUGGACAUAGUACGGCGUGAUAAGUGUCUUCGCCGGCACCUCAGUAGAGGGUGGCCGAUCGGGAGCUCUGUGCUUCAAACCGUCUUCGGACAACAAUUGACAACUUGACCUCAAAUCGAGUAGGACUACCCGCUGAACUUAAG